UACAGAGGUCUCAAGCGUUGUUCGGAUUCAUUGGGCGUAAAGGGUGCGUAGGCGGCGCGGUAAGUCGGGUGUGAAAUCUCGGAGCUUAACUCCGAAACUGCAUUCGAUACUGCCGUGCUUGAGGACUGGAGAGGAGACUGGAAUUUACGGUGUAGCGGUGAAAUGCGUAGAUAUCGUAAGGAAGACCAGUGGCGAAGGCGGGUCUCUGGACAGUUCCUGACGCUGAUGCACGAAGGCCAGGGGAGCAAACGGG
rnacentral:rRNA from 1 species